rnacentral:lncRNA from 1 species
GUAUGUAUGUAUGUCUUGUGAGUAGGUCUUGUGUGCUAUUAGGAGCACGGAGGCCUCCUCCGUGCUCCUAAGCCGUUUUUGAUGAUGGAGCUACCGAAUCGAUGAUCGGCUCCGUUAGACUUGAUCUAGCGUAUUUGAAGUAUCUAGAAAAUAAAUUUUGUGAUUUUUCAAUAUCAUUACCUAGCGAUCGAAAGGGAUCAAAAUCAACGGCUGAAAAUAAAAAUCUCACAAAAAGUGGUGAUAUAGCACUAAAAUUUUUGAUCAGAGAUAUUGAUCAUGCUGUAAAUAGUAUAAAGAAUUUUUUAUCAAAAUUUCUUGAUUUGAAUGCUUUUACACCGUUAAACUUGCAAUCGGUAUCAACCAUUAAAAGUUGUUAAUUUUGAACCCUUUCGAUCGUUGGGUAUAUGAUAUCGAAAAAUCACGAAAUUCAUUUUCUAAAUACUUCAAAUACGCUAGAUCAAGUCUAAUGGAGCCGAUCGUCGAUUUGGAAGCUCUAUAAUCGAAAACGGCUUAGGAGCACGGAGGAGGCCUCCGUGCUCCUAAUAGCACACAAGACCUACUCGUGUGUGUAUAUAUAUAUAUAUAUAUAUACAUAUAUAUAUAUAUAUAUAUAUAGAGGGAGGGAGGGAAAGAGAGAGAGUUGGGCCGGAGUACUAUUGAUAGUAUUUGCUCCAUUUUGCUAUCAAGUUUUUAAUCCUUGGAUGAGAAAUUGUAGGGUUAGGACCCCACUAGGUUUUAAUAUUUAAUCCAACGAUUAGAAAUGAUCAAAAGAAUUGAUGCAAUGGCUAAAUACUUGAUAGCAAAAAGGGGCAAAUACUAUUAAUAGUAUUCUAGCCCAACGCUCUCUCUCACUCUCCCUCUCUCUCUAUAUAUAUAUUGAGUCCAGCUGCUAUUCUUUUAGGAGGAUGGAGGCCUUUGUCCUCCUAAGUUGUUUUAGAUGAUAGGGAUCUCGAAUUGAUGAUCGAAAUCGUGAAAGUUGAUCUAGAGUAUUUAUAACGUUCAGAAACUAAAUUUCAUAAAUUUUAAAUUCGUUAUCAAAUUCAUUAGAGUUGAAAAAUGAACGGUCG